AGGUUAUUUCAGGGGGUUCGUCAUCCUGAAAACGGUGUUUUAUGAAAAAUUUCAGCGCUUUCAUGAAUGACAAAUUGUCAAAAUAUUUUCAACACGCCGGUCAGGUACCCAAGGUAAAUGGUUUGGACGAUUUUGAACUUGCAAAGGUCCGCGUAAUUGUAUAAUUGGAAACGACUAGCACACACCGCCUUUCUCUGUCAAGAUCAUUGGCAUAAAUUUGAUGCAAAAAUGACGAAAAUAAAGACUUUGUCCCAAUUAAUUGUUUUCUCCAAAAAUUUGCAAUUUACAUUUGUUUGUGUUCCCAAACUGUCAAAUAUACCGAGAGAAAUUGGCAAUUUUGCGAAAUAUUAAAAAAGGAGGUGAGCUGGUUUUGUCAACAAAAAAAUUUUUCAAGGCUAGUGAACAAAAAGUCCAGAGGCGUUCCCGCAAAUUCCCAAGAAUCCAUCACGAUGACGAUGAUUUGCACCAAAGGUCAGCCAAUGAUCGAACAAUGUGUAGCAAAUUAAUAAGCCAGACCUUGCAAAAACAAUUAAAUGUCCAAUAAAAUUUGAA